rnacentral:rRNA from 1 species
GCAUGCUUAAUACAUGCAAGUCGAACGGUAACAUGCCCUUCGGGGUGAUGACGAGUGGCGGACGGGUGAGUAAUGCAUAGGAAUCUACCCAGUAGACGGGGAACAACUUGGGGAAACUCAAGCUAAUACCGCGUAAGCCUUACGGGGGAUAGCGGGGGACUUUUUAGGAAGCCUCGCGAUAUUGGAUGAGCCUAUGCCGGAUUAGCUAGUUGGUGGGGUAAAAGCUUACCAAGGCUACGAUCCGCAGCUGGUCUGAGAGGAUGAUCAGCCACACUGGGACUGAGACACGGCCCAGACUCCUACGGGAGGCAGCAGUAGGGAAUAUUGGACAAUGGGCGAAAGCUUGAUCCAGCAAUGCCGCGUGUGUGAAGAAGGCCUGCGGGUUGUAAAGCACUUUCAGUUGGGAAGAAAAGCUUUAGGUUAAUACCCUGAAGUAUUGACGUUACCAACAGAAGAAGCACCGGCUAACUCUGUGCCAGCAGCCGCGGUAAUACAGAGGGUGCGAGCGUUAAUCGGAAUUACUGGGCGUAAAGCGUACGUAGGCGGUUGAGUCAGUCGGAUGUGAAAGCCCAAGGCUUAACCUUGGAACUGCAUUCGAUACUACUCGGCUAGAGUACAGGAGAGGGAAGCGGAAUUCCUAGUGUAGCGGUGAAAUGCGUAGAGAUUAGAGGAACACCAGUGGCGAAGCGGCUUCUUGGACUGAUACUGACGCUGAGGUACGAAAGCGUGGGGGAGCAAACAGGAUUAGAUACCCUGAUAGUCCACGCCCUAAACGAUGAGAACUAGAUGUUGGGGGAUUUAAUCCCCUUAGUAUC